rnacentral:rRNA from 1 species
GACAGAGGGUGCAAACGUUGCUCGGAAUCACUGGGCGUAAAGGGCGUGUAGGCGGGAAUGUAAGUCGGGCGUGAAAUCCCUAGGCUCAACCUAGGAACUGCACUCGAAACUGCGUUUCUUGAGUGCCGGAGAGGAAAGCGGAAUUCCUGGUGUAGAGGUGAAAUUCGUAGAUAUCAGGAGGAACACCAGUGGCGAAGGCGGCUUUCUGGACGGUAACUGACGCUGAGACGCGAAAGCGUGGGGAGCAAACAGG